UACGAAGGAUCCAAGCGUUAUCCGGAUUUACUGGGCGUAAAGGGCGCGUAGGCGGCGCAACAAGUCACUUGUGAAAUCUCCGGGCUUAACCCGGAGCGGCCAAGUGAUACUGUCGUGCUAGAGUGCGGAAGGGGCUACUGGAAUUCUCGGUGUAGCGGUGAAAUGCGUAGAUAUCGAGAGGAACACCUGCGGCGAAGGCGGGUAGCUGGGCCGACACUGACGCUGAGGCGCGAAAGCCAGGGGAGCGAACGGG
rnacentral:rRNA from 1 species